GGUUAUUAAAAAUAACAUAUUUUCUGUAAUGGCCCUGUUUUUCUGUAAUGGCCCUGUUUUUUUUCUGUAAUGGCCCUGUUUUUCUGUAAUGGGCCUGUUUUUCUGUAAUGGCCCUGUAUUAAUGCCCGGUUUGUCUGUAUAAAGCACAGUUAGGGUUUUUAAUGAAGUUAAUAAAAUUAAGUUGUAAAGAGUAUAAUACUUUUUUGUAUUUUAUUUAAUUUAGUAACCAGCAACCAACAUUAAAGAACGAUAUAUAGGGAUCACUGUUCCUCCUGUUUUUCAACACAUAGCUUCUGUCAACUUAAUAUCUUGGAUAUUUGGUAUAUUAACACAUACACUUUU
rnacentral:lncRNA from 1 species